ensembl:lncRNA
UAACUAUACUGGAGUAGAAAUACAGUAACUGUCAUACAGGUGUGUGGAAAUACAGUAACUGUCAUACAGGUGUGUGGAAAUACAGUAACUUUCAUACAGGUGUGUGGAAAUACAGUAACUUUCAUACAGGUGUGUGGAAAUACAGUAACUGUCAUAUAGGUGUGUGGAAAUACAAUAACUGUCAUAUAGGUGUGUGGAAAUACAGUAACUUUCAUACAGGUGUGUGGAAAUACAGUAACUGUCAUAUAGGUGUGUGGAAAUACAAUAACUGUCAUAUAGGUGUGUGGAAAUACAGUAACUUUCAUACAGGUGUGUGGAAAUACAGUAACUGUCAUAUAGGUGUGUGGAAAUACAGUAACUGUCAUAUAGGUGUGUGGAAAUACAGUAACUUUCAUACAGGUGUGUGGAAAUACAGUAACUGUCAUAUAGGUGUGUGGAAAUACAGUAACUGUCAUAUAGGUGUGUGGAAAUACAGUAACUUUCAUACAGGUGUGUGGAAAUACAGUAACUGUCAUAUAGGUGUGUGGAAAUACAGUAACUGUCAUACAGGUGUUUGGCCUCCGGGGGGCAGACAGACAUUGUGUAGAAAAGUCAACUCUUUGAAGAAUGUGCUUCUCUAAGCAUUCAAUAUGUAGAAACAUUCCAUUAUAAAGUGUUUGAUAUUACAAUCUAGCUAGGCAUAUAUUAUAUAUAUAUAUAUAUUACACACAGUCAUGUAUUAACAGAUGUAAAAAGGUUGAAUGGUAUCAAGUCAAGAAAUAUACUGUUGAUCAACAUGAUCAUGAAAUAAAAGCUGUAAAAAAUGAAUGAAUGCAGAUGCCAGGUGUCGUUAUUAGUUCAUCAUAGCCUUAUAUUUGACGAUGACAAUCAGUGUUUCACAAGUAAUGAUCACAGCAAUGAGAGAGGGAAAAUAAUCAUGAUAUCAAUUCAUACAUUCUAAUAUGCGUUGCUUUAUAGGGGUCGAAUGCUAACUUCCUAACUUCCACCGAAUUCAAUUGAAUUUCCACUUCUCCCCAUUGACAUCAAUGCAAAACUCAACUUGAAGUGAGAGCGUUAGGAUUUGCCCCGCUAUAGUGAGUCCUGCAGUGGUUCCGGUCUCUUAAGAAAAGCAGAUUUCACUCAGUUAUCCCUCAAAAGGGGGGCCUCCAGUUCACUACAACACAAUAGAACUACCUUAGAAUCUCUCUCGCCAUCAGCGCAGUUCCAUUCCAACAGCAAACCAUCCUUUUACACGAGAACCCAGUCAGACGGAUGGCCUUACUAGGCCCAAUGUAACAAAAAGGAAACGUAAAAACUCAAGUGUUCAUUAUGUGGAUGGGGGUUGGCUGGCGUCUCAUCAUCGCCGUGGAAUGUUCUAUGCCCGUUCUCAGAAAUCAGAGUUGUAGUCGGCGCUAGGAAUCAUCAUCGGAACAUUUGCAGAUAGAAGUUGAUUGAACAGAGCCGACACACUUCCCUUAUUCUAUCUGGUUGACAAUCAUAUCUGUUCUAUAUGAUACAUUUCUAUCUGAGUUGCAGUCUGUGCUGGGAAACGUUCAGAACGGAUAGAAAUAGAUUGAAUAGAGCCGACACGCUUCCCCUAUUCUAUCUGGCAGACAAUCAUAUCUGUUCUACACGAUACAUUUCUAUCUGAGCAUUCUGUAACGUUACAUCCUCCUGAACAGACUUGUCCGAGUUAUCCCCUGGGGCAUCAUGGGAGAGAUAAUAGGAGAAAAAGAGCCAACCAAUGAAAGCAGUCCAGAGAGCGGAUCGACCAAUCAGCAUAGAGCAGUGCGGCAGGAACAGUGGGCGUCCUGUCCCAGUGCAUUGUGGUCCGUCGGUCGGAGAGAUAAGCAGGCAUAUCUGGUGUACAAUCAGUUCAGUGCUGGAUCAGGAGCAACAGUGAGGAGCCAAUCAAACUAAAGUAUGCAGCAGAGUGGGCGGGGCAUGUGACUGGGUAAGAAGCAGUUGGAAAAGCAGUUAACUAACCUGGUCCCAGAUCAGUUUCUGCUGUAUAGCCAAUGACCCAUAGGAGUUGGCAGGACAGCACAAACAGAUCUGAGACCAGGUUAGUGCAGACACACUCACUCUGUAAAGUAUUGCUAAUUACUUUAAGAUGGAAACAUCUUCACCUACUGUGCUUUCUAUAGCGGAGGAUGAGCUUGGGCAUCGGCGUGUAUGUACAGUAUCUGUCAUGGCUUAGGAUUAGGUUACUAUAGACCUAAACACGUUCUGGGAAUAUUCUCUUUAUUUCUACCUCUCGUUCCUCCUCCAUCACUCUCUUCAGCAGAGAGGAGUAACAGGACAGGUUGUGGUAGAGCAGACCCGAGCAGAGGCAGUAGCCUCCAUCACUCUCUUCAGCAGAGAGGAGUAACAGGACAGGUUGUGGUAGAGCAGACCCGAGCAGAGGCAGAGGCCUCCAUCACUCCCUUCAGCAGAGAGGAGUAACAGGACAGGUUGUGGUAGAGCAGACCCGAGCAGAGGCAGUAGCCUCCAUCACUCCCUUCAGCAGAGAGGAGUAACAGGACAGGUUGUGGUAGAGCAGACCCGAGCAGAGGCCUCCAUCACUCUCUUCAGCAGAGAGGAGUAACAGGACAGGUUGUGCUAGAGCAGACCCGAGCAGAGGCAGAGGCCUCCAUCACUCCCUUCAGCAGAGAGGAGUAACAGGACAGGUUGUGGUAGAGCAGACCCGAGCAGAGGCCUCCAUCACUCUCUUCAGCAGAGAGGAGUAACAGGACAGGUUGUGGUAGAGCAGACCCGAGCAGACUCUCUUCAGCAGAGAGGAGUAACAGGACAGGUUGUGGUAGAGCAGACCCGAGCAGAGGCAGAGGCCUCCAUCACUCUCUUCAGCAGAGAGGAGUAACAGGACAGGUUGUGGUAGAGCAGAUCGUAGCAGAGGAAGCAAUCUAAGCGUUACAGUACUAUAGCCCAUAGAAAAACAACAACAAAAUAACAACUUAAGGGGAUUAUCAGUUCUGUCUGAAUUCCAGUUGUUGAGUUUUGAGGUUAGAUUGACAGAAAAUAACCUAAUAAGCGUCAUUUCUAUUUCCUCUGUUCCAUCCACCAGAGUUAGAGGACAGACAGACCAACAUGAAUGCCGGCCGUGCGACAGCUGGGUGGGCGUCCUGUCACAUCUGACUACAAAACAUCGACCGUCAUUUUGUAUAAAUUUCUCAGCGAUUCGUGGACGCCCAGCAGGACACCGCUCGUGGACACCCAGCAGGACACCGCUCGUGAACGCCCAGCAGGUGUUCUACUGCGCAUGGCAGAAGUUGGUGUUGGUCUAUCUUCCAUCUUAGCGGUUUCAGUUCAGCUGGACAGACAUCACAGGAAGGGAUUCUGACUGUGCUGCUCUCCCAGAGACGAGAUGGAGGAAAGAGGUAACAGGGGCUGUGGCAGCCCAGGUAUGUCCAGGGCUCCAUGGGUGGGCUGGGUGAGGGAGGAGGGCAGGCUGGCCGGCUGGUGGCUGGCGGGCAGAGGCAGAGAAGCACUGUAGGGCAGGGAGGGAGGACCGGAGGGGGGGACGGGGGACGUGGAGCUGGGACGCAUCUGAUUCAGAGUGAGACGAGGCUGUUCACUCUGGAACGGGUUGAGGGGAGAUGGAGUACUCAGACCUGGAGGGGGAAGGAGAUAGGGGAGGAGAGAGAGCAGGGGGGGAAGGAGAUAGGGGAGGAGAGAGAGCAGGGGGGGGGGAGGAGAUAGGGGAGGAGAGAGAGCAGGGGGGGAGG